AUGUUCUGUUUCGCUCCACCCUUUGAGCCAUUGACCUGUGGCUUUGUUCUUCACACAGCCAACAGUUCUGUUCUUUGUAUGGAUAUAAAAAACAGGGCGAGGGUGCUUACACUUUGUUGAAGUUUUUAAAGUACUACUGGCAUCUUUGUUUAUUUUGUUAAAUAUUCUUUUGUGAUACAUUUUUAUGUAAUAUGUGUUUUACUUCAAGUAUCUGACAACAAUGUCCCUUGACAAUGACUGUCAAUCUUUUAUCAAUCUAUUGGUUAGACGACCAGAAUGAUGAUUAAAAAUCUGUGCUUGGUGGACAAACACAUGUGGCUAGUCUUCUGCGCAUGUGUAGGUGUAGCAUGUGACAUAGCACUCAGGGAUCAGACAAUCAUAACAUGUGCUAGUUGUGCUCGGUUUUGGGCUUCUAUUCUCCUCCAAAAGAAAAAAAGUUAUGGAAUUCUAUCAGGUUUCAUAAUGCAUUGGAUCUUACAAUUUGAUUAAAAUUUGAUUCCUCCAAGCAUUGGUUUAGUAGUUCUCGAGGUUUUAGGAGAUCCAUAAGAUGUUGGGUUUUAGAGAUUAUUUCUCGGAAUUAUUAAGCGUGGGGAAUGGAGUGAAAUAUAGUAGGGGAAUAGUGAGAUAUUCAAAGAAGUUUGGAUAUUUAAAAAAAAAUAAAAACCAAUAAAGAUGAAAGAGAUGACCUUAUUAGAGGUUAGGAUCUCAGUUUAAGUGGAGGUGCGGGGGUGCAUUCUAGUGUUAGCUUGGUUACCUUGGUAGGGUUGUAAAUGAACGAAUUAGAGUAAAAUUUUUUUUUUUUUUAGCUAACUAUUCAAGUUGAAUUCUAAGAUUAGGCUCAACAAUAAAAUGAGUUAAAUUUAAAAAUAAUAAUGUGUUCAUAAACAAAGAACACGAACAUAAGACUUGAUUUAACAAUUUAUAUAUUUAUUACUUGUGUAAAUGUAUACUCACAUAGACUUGAAAUUGUAUUGAAUAAUUUUGUAAAUAGAUUUAUAUGAUAUCAAAUUAUUAUUUAUACAUCUCAAAAAAAAAAAAAUAUAUAUAUAUAUAUUUAUAUUUUUUUUUUUAAAAUUUUAUACAUCUCAAAAAAAAAAAAAUAUAUAUAUAUAUAUUUAUAGUUUUUUUUUUAAAAUUAUAUCAUAAAUAAUUCAUUUAUAGUAAAAAUUCAUAAAUUUGUGAAGGGUAAAAAAUUUUGGACAUGGUUUUGCCAGAUGAAAGAAAAGAAUAAGUUAAUUAAAUAGCUUGUCAAUAAGCUUGAGUUUAAUCGACAAGAAAAUGAACUAAGCUUGAAUAUGUAAUCUUUUUUGAUAAUCUUUUUUGAUAAUGAGUUAGAGUUGGGAUUAUAUUAAAAUAAAAUGAAAAGGACUGAAGUUUCAACACUUGACUCAAUUGUCUUGUUUACCGGGCUCUACCUAAAUUUGUGUGGAGGUAUGCUCUAGUGUUAGCUUGGUCCUCUCAUCAAUGUGCCAAGGCAAACUCUGAGUUCAUAAAUCUGGCUGCCAUUGUUGACCAAUGGGGUUUUCAUUACUUUCAUAUUUAUCUUUAAAUAUGGUUCUUUAUUUCCUCAUAGGUUACAACUUCCAUAAGGUUUCUACUUUAAUAAAUUUUAUUUUAGGGAAAAGGCAAAAAGGAUUUUAUUGACAAUCUUCGUAUUUGGUUCUGUACUGUGAUUUGUGAACCACCCCUGUUGGGAAGAAAGUGCUAGAAAAGAAAAGAAGGAAAAAGAAAGAACGAUUGCAUUCCAUUUGAAAAUAAGUAUAUUUUAAGGAGAGAAUGUGAAUGGUAAGAAACCUCCUCCAACUAUUCAGCCAAAAAAAAAAAAAAAAAUCCUCCAACUCUCCAUCCACGCUCGGCAUUAAACACGCUUAUUACACGCUUACCCUUAAAUUAAAAUGACAAAAUUGCCCUUGAAAUCCCCGCCAUUAACAAAUUUUUUUGUUUUUUCACCUUUUUGUAAAAUCAAAAUUCUCUCUCUCAACUCCAAACGGACCAAACCUACCUCUGCAGCCACUGCCUAGCAUCGCCGCCAGAGCUACGCUGCCAAAAAUCACCAGUUCCGACAGGACCGGCCGUUGUCUCGUCGGAAAAUACCCCAAAAUGGUCUCUCAUUCUGGUUGCUUCCAACCCCCAACGCCGGAAGCUUUUUCGCCUCUUCCAACACCUUGCGUCGCAAGAAGGUUUUCUUCUCUCUCCUUUUCUGCGUUUUUUCACAUCUUUGGAUUUGGCACCAUAAUCUGAACUUACAAGGGUCUUAUUUUUAUAACCAAAUCUCACCUGAAAGAUAAACGUUUUUGGCUUUGCAGGUCUUUAAUGGGGAGUGAGAUUUGGGUGUUUUUGUUUAGGGAAGAGACGGGUUUGAUGGGGUUGGGGUUUGGGGUUUAUUGUUUUAGUUUGUAUCCCUAUUUUAUUAUUAAUAUCUAUAAACUUACAUGGGAUUGGGCUGCCUAGAUUAAUAUUGAUGGUUCCUUUGCAGGUAAUGUGUGA
rnacentral:sRNA from 1 species